UCAUUUUAUCGAUAAGAAAAUAAGACGAAUCCUAAGACAACACUAAAUAACAUGGAAUAAAAUGUCACUAAUGGCCAUAGGCAAUAUUACAUUUGCAAAGGAAAGGAAACUCCUAUCUAUUUGGUCCUAGAAGGACCUUCCCCAGAUUCGGCAGUAUUGUCUCCUUCGUACAGCUCUCCCAGCUCGCGCAGUCCUAGAAACAAGUAGGCCCUGUCUAGAUGUCCGCCUUCAUUUCCUUCAGCAACUCGGCCAUCUUCGUCCCUCUUCAGAACUUUCUUUUAAGUUCUACUAUGCCUUGCUCCAAGCGGAUCAGUCAUUGUUAGCGCUGACAGCCAUAUCCCUCCAAUUUCUAAUUAGCUUUUGAUUGGCUUCUUUUAUUUCACGGUGCUCAUUUCACAUUCCCACAUCCUCUUGCGCAAUUGGUUGUAUUUUACUUGUGCUUUAGCCCUUUCUCAAUGAUCCUGUGACCUCGAACAAACCCGAGCUGACCCAAAUCAUUGUGAUUAUCUUCCAGCCAACUAAAUACUGUAGGGUACAACCAUCAUGGUAGCGAUAUGUUUCGAUGGUAUCUCUUCCUAAGACAAUUUUGUAAUGCCACAUGUGCUGAGCCUAGCACAUGUAUGGACUAUUGUAAUCCUGGAAGUCGGCUUGGAAGUGACUCAUUUUGUCGAACUCUGGCAUAACCUGCUUCCUACCCGCCUGUCUUAUAACCCGGACAGGGACAUAUGGAUAGGUCACUCUCAAGCCAAUCAGUAUUAGAAACGGUGCAUCCCUAGAUCGAAUGAUGAAUUAUUCAGUGGGAAACCACUCGGACAUCCAUUGCACUUGGUCCUCAGUAAGAUAGUCAAAGAGUUCGACCCAUUCUCUAGCAUUUUCUAGUUGUUUGAACAUGUUGGGAAUGUAAUUCAUUCGUUUUGGGUGAUGAAAGGCGAUAUGAUUGUCCCAGUCUCUACGAUGGAUUUCCUGCCGGUACUCACCCUUUUGGAGGUGUUCCAUGAGCCAUAAUUGGAGUAGCAAAUUACAACCCUCGGUAUAUAUUUGUAACUAUCAUUGGCGCAAGACUGAAUGGCUGUCCGUUAAUUCCUUCCAUUAUGGUUUUAGUUUUGGGUGAUGAAAGGCGAUAUGAUUGUCCCAGUCUCUACGAUGGAUUUCCUGCCGGUACUCACCCUUUUGGAGGUGUUCCAUGAGCCAUAAUUGGAGUAGCAGAUUACAGCCUUCAAAAUGUUUGGCUCCUUGUUGGCAGCUUUCCAGGGCUCGGUGUAUUUUUGCAACUAUCAUUGGCACAAGACUGAACGACUAUCUAUUAAUUCCUUCCAUUAAAGCUUUGGUGACCAUGGUAGACUGGUAAGGAUUCUUGUUUUAUUCAUUGGAAACACUAUCAUCCCCACAAAACAAAACAUGAAUACGAAGACCCCUUUGAUGGAUAUGUCCUAAUGAGGUGAGGGCGAUCUCAUCAGGAUAAGUACGGUAGGAUUUGCUGUGAUCGUAUCUUUCAUACAAGUAGUCAAAAGGAAUGUAUGACUCCUUCAGACAUGUCAAGUCGGGAUUCUUCUUUAGACCCAUCAUUUUGAGAAAUCCCCUACCCUUGCGAUUUAUGGCAUUACCAAACCCGGAGCUUCCCAUGGUAUCCCAGCUAGUCCUCCUAUUUCCUCAAGCAAAGGUGUCAUUUAAAGGUCCCC
rnacentral:lncRNA from 1 species